rnacentral:rRNA from 1 species
AGGUGGGCUGGUGGAGAACACCAAGGCGCUCGAGAGAACCCAGGUUAAGGAACUCGGCAAAUUGACACCGUAACUUCGGGAUAAGGUGUGCCGUCGGUAGGUGAAGCGCCUGCGCGUGGAGCUGAAGACGGUUGCAACAAAGCGGCGGUAGCGACUGUUUACCAAAAACACAGGGCUCUGCGAACGCGUAAGCGGACGUAUAGGGCCUGACGCCUGCCCGGUGCCGGAAGGUUAAGGGGAAUUGUCAGCGCAAGCGAAGCAGUGAACUGAAGCCCCGGUAAACGGCGGCCGUAACGAACGGUCCUAAGGUAGCGAAAUUCCUUGUCGGGUAAGUUCCGACCUGCACGAGGGCGUAACGACUUCCGCGCUGUCUCGACCUGGGGCUCGGCGAAAAUGACAUUGGGGUGAAGAUGCCCCAUACCCGCAGCUAGACGAAAAGACCCUGUGAACCUUUACUGUAACUUGCCAGUGGCGUUCGACUCAAACUGUGUAGGAUAGGUGGGAGGCUUUGAACCAUGGCCGCCAGGUCGUGGGGAGCCAACGUUGAAAUACCACCCUGUUUGAUUUGGCCGCCUAACCCUUGACGGGGGACACUGGCUGGUGGGCAGUUUGACUGGGGCGGUCGCCUCCCAAAGAGUAACGGAGGCGCACAAAGGUCCGCUCAGCCCGAACGGAAACCGGGCGGAGAGUGUAAUCGCACAAGCGGGCUUGACUGCGAGACCGACAGGUCGAGCAGGUGGGAAACCAGGUGAUAGUGAUCCGGUGGUUCUGCAUGGAAGGGCCAUCGCUCAACGGAUAAAAGGUACUCCGGGGAUAACAGGCUGAUCGCGCCCAAGAGUUCAUAUCGACGGCGCGGUUUGGCACCUCGAUGUCGGCUCAUCGCAUCCUGGGGCUGGAGCAGGUCCCAAGGGUAUGGCUGUUCGCCAUUUAAAGCGGUACGCGAGCUGGGUUCGAACGUCGUGAGACAGUUCGGUCUCUAUCUGCUGUGGGCGUCGGAGAGUUGAGAAGAGCUGUCCUUAGUACGAGAGGACCGGGAUGGACGCGCCUCUGGUGUUCCGGUUGUCGCGCCAGCGGCAUCGCUGGGUAGCUAUGUGCGGACGGGAUAACCGCUGAAAGCAUCUAAGCGGGAAGCCCCCUUCGAGAUGAGCUCUCCCUUACAAGCCCGGGAAGACUACCCGGUUGAUAGGCGCCAGCUGCACAUCCAGCAAUGGAUUCAGGCGAGGCGUACUAAUCGCUU